rnacentral:rRNA from 1 species
CGCUGGCGGUGUGGCUAACACAUGCAAGUCGAACGUGAAAAGGGGCAACCCUGAGUAAAGUGGCGUACGGGUGAGUAAUACGUAGGUAAUCUACCUGAGUGUCUGGAAUAACCUGCCGAAAGGCGGGCUAAUACUGGAUAGAGCGACGGAAUCCGUAAUUGGGUUUUUCGGGAAAGGGAGGAAGCAAUUCCCUUCGCACUCAGAUGAGCCUGCGUCUGAUUAGCUAGUUGGUGGGGUAAAGGCCCACCAAGGCGAUGAUCGGUAGCUGGUCUGAGAGGAUGAUCAGCCACACUGGAACUGAAACACGGUCCAGACUCCUACGGGAGGCAGCAGUGGGGAAUCUUGCGCAAUGGACGAAAGUCUGACGCAGCCACGCCGCGUGAGUGAAGAAGGCCUCCGGGUUGUAAAGCUCUGUCG